GGAAAAGGGCUAUGCAGUCCAGAGUGUCUAAUGGACUUUGGAAACUACAACUGCUACUAUCUGCUAAGAGAACCUGCUUCCUCCUCAUGGAUACGCCUGCUGUUCUGUGGAAUGCUGGUUCCACAAGAAAGAAAAGUCCAUUAGGGAUGUCAGUGCUUACAUCACCUAACCAAUAAAACCUCUCUCCCUGUAAGCACUGUGGUAAAGAGGCACAUGGAGAGGACAAGUGCUCUUGGUCCAGCCGGCUGCUCUGAACCUUCUGGUGAGCACUGUGGCCAAGCUAAGUGAGCGUCUGAUGUGCUGCUUGUCCAGCCUGUCACUACUGAACCCCAGGAUCAAGAUAUAGAACUCUCAGCUCCUACUUGUAGCACCAAGUCUGUCUAAAUGCCACCAUGCUUCUUGUCCUGAUGGUAAUGGACUAAACCUCUGAAACUAAAGGAAACUGGCAGAAUAUUGGGUUGAAUAGCUUAAAUGAACACAGCCAGGCACUGACAAAAUUUGAAUUUCAAUUGCAACAAUCUGAACCACCUUUUAAAAUUGGGAUCUAGCAAAGUCACAGAGCAGAGCGUGAGUGAAGGCUAUUCCUGGUUGUCAACUUGACUACAUCUGGGAUGAACUACAAUCCAGAUAUGGAGGGCAUACUUGUGAUCCAGAUCUGGAGGGUAGAAGACACAAGCUUCUGACAUGGAAUGACAUACACUUUUGAUCCAGAUCUUGAGGCACAGUGGCCAUGGGAAGCUUUGGCCCGGACAAGGGAUGCCUUUAACCCCAGGAGACUGAGGUAAGCAGAUCUAAGUUCAAGGCCAGCUUGGGACUGUGAGUUCCAAAUCCAGUCAUAGUGGUACACACAUCUGGGCCAUACCUUCUGCUGAAGCCUACAUAAGGAUUAGAAGAAAGAAGACUCACUCUUCUUUGCAUGCUUGCACUUACUUGCCAGCACAUCAGUUGGAAGCUACUUCUUCAGAAGUCCAGCUUAUACAGAAGACCAGCUGAAACAAGCAGCCUCAUGGGACCGAGCAACUACUAGAUUCUUGGACUUCCCAUUCACAGCUGCCCAUUGUUGGGGUAGUUGGACUACAAACUGUAAGUCAUUACAAUACAUUUCCUUAUAU